AACGAACGCUGGCGGCAGGCUUAACACAUGCAAGUCGAACGCAUCGCAAGAUGAGUGGCAGACGGGUGAGUAACGCGUGGGAACAUACCCUUUUCUACGGAAUAGCUCUGGGAAACUGGAAUUAAUACCGUAUACGACCUACGGGGGAAAGAUGUAUCGGGGAAGUAUUGGCCCGCGUUGGAUUAGUUAGGUGGUGGGGGAAAGGCCUACCAAGGCGACGAUCCAUAGCUGGGCUGAGAGGAUGAUCAGCCACAUUGGGACUGAGACACGGCCCAAACUCCUACGGGAGGCAGCAGUGGGGAAUAUUGGACAAUGGGCGCAAUCCUGAUCCAGCCAUGCCGCGUGAGUGAUGAAGGCCUUAGGGUUGUAAAGCUAUUUCACCGAUGAAGAUAAUGACGGUAGUCGGAGAAGAAGCCCCGGCUAACUUCGUGCCAGCCGCCGCCGUAAUAC
rnacentral:rRNA from 1 species